rfam:Oryza nivara chromosome 1, whole genome shotgun sequence.
AAAAAGACAAACCGUGAGUUCCCGUGCCAACGUUUGACUGUCCGUCUUAUAUGAAAUUUUUUUAUAAUUAGUAUUUUCAUUGUUGUUAGAUGAUAAAACAUGAUUAAUACUUUAUACUUGACUUAUCUUUUUAAUUUUUUUCAUAAUUUUUUUAAAUAAGACGGACGGUUAAACGUUGAAUACGGAAACCGGGGUAUGUUUUUAGA